rnacentral:rRNA from 1 species
UGGCGUGGGGGCACCCUGACCGGCAAUGCCGCGUGAGUGAAGAAGGCCUUCGGGUUGUAAAGCUCUUUUGUCAGGGAAGAAACACCGGCUCUAACACAGUCCGGGAAUGACGGUACCUGAAGAAUAAGCACCGGCUAACUACGUGCCAGCAGCCGCGGUAAUACGUAGGGUGCAAGCGUUAAUCGGAAUUACUGGGCGUAAAGCGUGCGCAGGCGGUUAUACAAGACAGGCGUGAAAUCCCCGGGCUUAACCUGGGAAUGGCGCCUGUGACUGUAUAGCUAGAGUGUGUCAGAGGGGGGUAGAAUUCCACGUGUAGCAGUGAAAUGCGUAGAUAUGUGGAGGAAUACCAAUGGCGAAGGCAGCCCCCUGGGAUAACACUGACGCUCAUGCACGAAA